rnacentral:rRNA from 1 species
UGGCGGCGGCCUAACACAUGCAAGUCGAACGGUAACAGGAAGAGCUUGCUUCUUUGCUGACGAGUGGCGGACGGGUGAGUAAUGUCUGGGAAACUGCCUGAUGGAGGGGGAUAACUACUGGAAACGGUAGCUAAUACCGCAUAACGUCGCAAGACCAAAGAGGGGGACCUUCGGGCCUCUUGCCAUCGGAUGUGCCCAGAUGGGAUUAGCUAGUAGGUGGGGUAACGGCUCACCUAGGCGACGAUCCCUAGCUGGUCUGAGAGGAUGACCAGCCACACUGGAACUGAGACACGGUCCAGACUCCUACGGGAGGCAGCAGUGGGGAAUAUUGCACAAUGGGCGCAAGCCUGAUGCAGCCAUGCCGCGUGUAUGAAGAAGGCCUUCGGGUUGUAAAGUACUUUCAGCGGGGAGGAAGGGAGUAAAGUUAAUACCUUUGCUCAUUGACGUUACCCGCAGAAGAAGCACCGGCUAACUCCGUGCCA